GCGGAUGUGGCGGAAUUGGCAGACGCGCUAGAUUUAGGUUCUAGUUCCGACAGGAGUGAAGGUUCAAGUCCUUUCAUCCGCA
rfam:Chrysosporum ovalisporum strain TAM-MAO genome assembly, contig: 128